rnacentral:rRNA from 1 species
GUGAGGAAUAUUGGUCAAUGGACGAGAGUCUGAACCAGCCAAGUCGCGUGAAGGAAGACGGUUCUAUGAAUUGUAAACUUCUUUUGUGCAGGAAUAAAGUGGGUUACGUGUAACCUUUUGUAUGUACUGUACGAAUAAGGAUCGGCUAACUCCGUGCCAGCAGCCGCGGUAAUACGGAGGAUCCGAGCGUUAUCCGGAUGUAUUGGGUUUAAAGGGUGCGUAGGUGGAUUGAUAAGUCAGCUGUGAAAGUUUGCAGCUUAAAUGUAAAAUUGCCGUUGAAACUGUCGGUCUUGAGUGCAAAUGAGGUAGGCGGAAUGUGUUGUGUAGCGAUGGAAUGCUUAGAUAUAACACAGAACUCCGAUUGCGAAGGCAGCUUACUGGGAUGCAACUGACACUGAUGCACGAAAGCGUGGGUAUCAAACAGGAUUAGAAACCCUUGUAGUCC